rnacentral:lncRNA from 1 species
GAGAAUGUCUUCCCAAGCUUUCUGGAGCUGUCUUCCCAAAGCUUUUUGAAGAUGGAAGAAGUGUGCUUUAGUUAGGUGUGGAGGUCAGCGUGGCCCUGAAUAAAGGAAGGGAUGAGUGAAUACAGCUCAUGUGGAUGAUUUCCUUUUUGUUACAUGAGAAGAGGCCAAAAUAUUCAGGUGUUGAGUAAGCAGCUGUAUUGAAGACAGCUGAAUGCUGAGGGAGAGAGGUUUCCCAUUGCUGCCUGGAUGGAUGGUCCUGUCAGUCCUGUCUUAGUCCCAGGGGAUGGUCUCCUACACUCUCCCUUGUGUGAUGACUGCAUGACUACACCCCUUGGAUCCUAUCACCAUUCAUCUUUGGAAAGGAGAUGUGGCACAAAACAAAGAAGAGAAGCGAGAGGGGAGCACCGAACCAAACAGCAGUCACAGUUUUUGUUGUGCUGAGUGUUUUGUGCCAGCUUAGACAAGCAAAACGGAGCACUGUUUAUCAGAAAGCAGAGAGCCGCAGCAGCAAUUCCCUGACCCAUGAAUAAGAUUUGAUCAGCAGAUGCCUCCUUUCAGCACUGAGCACUACUUCCAUCUAUUCUGUGCUCCGCAAAGUCCUGGUUACGAGCACCGAGCAAACCUUCCUGAAGCACAGACCCUCAGAGGACCUGAGCAAGAACACCCUGUGCACGCAGGCCUGGCUUUAAGGUAUCAUUUGGAGUUCAGCCGCAGGUUAAUCUGUCUGUAGCACCAGAUCCACUCCCAG